GACGAGGGGUCCAAGCGUUGUUCGGAAUCAUUGGGCGUAAAGAGCUCGUAGGCGGCUUGUCGCGUCGACUGUGAAAUCCCGCGGCUCAACUGCGGGUCUGCAGUCGAUACGGGCAGGCUAGAGUUCGGUAGGGGAGACUGGAAUUCCUGGUGUAGCGGUGAAAUGCGCAGAUAUCAGGAGGAACACCGAUGGCGAAGGCAGGUCUCUGGGCCGAUACUGACGCUGAGGAGCGAAAGCGUGGGGAGCGAACAGG
rnacentral:rRNA from 1 species